rnacentral:tRNA from 1 species
GGGGGGGUAGCUCAGUUGGUAGAGCGCGUCGUUCGCAAUGACGAGGUCGUGGGUUCGAUUCCCAUCCUCUCCACCA